ACGGGUUGAUAAGGAAUAGGCUGUUUUACGGUGGAGCUGAGAGUGUUUAGGGGUUACCGUGUUUGAGUGCAUGCAGGAUAUCGCGCAAAAUAGCAAGAGAGGACGGAUCUGUUGAAGCCCACAACCCUUACUCAUCUUUGCCUCACGGAUUAGGUUGUUCUACAGUGUGGAUCAAUCGUGCCACUGUUCUCCAGCUCUUGACUUCUUUUUAUUCCUCCAAAAUCUGCACCCACUUCUUGCUCACCCUUUUCCAGCAGCAUGCAUCUCGAAUC
rnacentral:lncRNA from 1 species